rnacentral:rRNA from 1 species
UACGGAGGGGGCGAGCGUUAUUCGGAAUUAUUGGGCGUAAAGGGUGCGUAGGCGGCGGGGCAAGUCUGAUGUGAAAUCCUGGGGCUCAACCCUGGAACUGCAUUGGAUACUUCCUUGCUAGAGUACUGGAGAGGAAACUGGAAUUUACGGUGUAGCAGUGAAAUGCGUAGAGAUCGUAAGGAAGACCAGUGGCGAAGGCGAGUUUCUGGACAGUUACUGACGCUGAGGCACGAAGGCCAGGGGAGCAAACGGG